rnacentral:rRNA from 1 species
UACGGAGGGUGCGAGCGUUAUCCGGAUUCACUGGGUUUAAAGGGUGCGUAGGUGGCGCCGUAAGUGGGGUGUGAAAUUUCGGAGCUUAACUCCGAAACUGCAUUCCAUACUGCGGUGCUUGAGGACUGGAGAGGAGACUGGAAUUUACGGUGUAGCAGUGAAAUGCGUAGAGAUCGUAAGGAAGACCAGUGGCGAAGGCGGGUCUCGUGGACAGUUCCUGACACUGAGGCACGAAGGCCAGGGGAGCAAACAGG